rnacentral:rRNA from 1 species
ACCCUGGAUGGAGAGAUUGAAGCCGCAAGGCGGAUGUCAAUUUGUCCGGGGAUAUGGCGGCAGACUGGUGAGGAACACGUGAGUAAUAUACCUCCGAGUUGGGAAUAGCCUUGCGAAAGUGAGGGUAAUACCCGAUGUGUUUACGGCGGCGCAAGCCGCUGCAAGUAAAGGUGCACCGGCCAAAGCCGGGGUGCCGCUUGAAGAUUANCUCGCGUCCUAUCAACUAGUUGGUGGGGUAAUGGCCUACCAAGGCUUUUGACGGGUAGCUGGCCUGAGAGGGUGGUCAGCCACACGGGGACUGAGACACUGCCCCGACUCCUACGGGAGGCUGCAAUCGAGGAUCUUUAGCAAUGGGCGAAAGCCUGACUAUGCGACGCCGCGUGAGGGAUGAAGGUUUUCGGAUCGUAAACCUCUUUCGAUGGGGAAGAAUGUCCAGGCUUAACCG